UACGUAGGCAGCGAGCGUUGUUCGGAGUUACUGGGCGUAAAGGGUGUGUAGGCGGUUUUCUAAGUUUGGUGUGAAAUCUCCCGGCUCAACCCGGGAGGGUGCGCCGAAAACUGGGAGACUAGAGUGCGGGAUGGGAGAGUAGAAUUCCUGGUGUAGCGGUGAAAUGCGUAGAUAUCAGGAGGAAUACCGGUGGUGUAGACGGCUCUCUGGACCGCCACUGACGCUGAGACACGAAAGCGUGGGUAGCAAACAGG
rnacentral:rRNA from 1 species